rnacentral:rRNA from 1 species
UUCUUUGAAACAAACUUGCUUUGGCGGUGGGCCCAGCCUGCCGCCAGAGGUCUAAACUUACAACCAAUUUUUUAUCAACUUGUCACACCAGAUUAUUACUAAUAGUCAAAACUUUCAACAACGGAUCUCUUGGUUCUCGCAUCGAUGAAGAACGCAGCGAAAUGCGAUACGUAAUAUGAAUUGCAGAUAUUCGUGAAUCAUCGAAUCUUUGAACGCACAUUGCGCCCUCUGGUAUUCCGGAGGGCAUGCCUGUUUGAGCGUCGUUUCUCCCUCAAACCGCUGGGUUUGGUGUUGAGCAAUACGACUUGGGUUUGCUUGAAAGACGGUAGUGGUAAGGCGGGAUCGCUUUGACAAUGGCUUAGGUCUAACCAAAAACAUUGCUUGCGGCGGUAACGUCUACCACGUA